GACGAACGCUGGCGGCGUGCUUAACACAUGCAAGUCGAACGAUGAAGCCGGAGCUUGCUCUGGUGAAUUAGUGGCGAACGGGUGAGUAACACGUGAGUAACCUGCCCUUGACUCUGGGAUAACUGCUAGAAAUGGUAGCUAAUACCGGAUACGACCCUCGGAGGCAUCUUCAGGGGGUGGAAAGAAUUUCGGUCAAGGAUGGGGUCGCGGCCUAUCAGCUAGUUGGUGAGGUAACGGCUCACCAAGGCGACGACGGGUAGCCGGCCUGAGAGGGUGACCGGCCACACUGGGACUGAGACACGGCCCAGACUCCUACGGGAGGCAGCAGUGGGGAAUAUUGCACAAUGGGCGCAAGCCUGAUGCAGCAACGCCGCGUGAGGGAUGACGGCCUUCGGGUUGUAAACCUCUUUUAGUAGGGAAGAAGCGAAAGUGACGGUACCUGCAGAAAAAGCACCGGCUAACUACGUGCCAGCCGCCGCCGUAA
rnacentral:rRNA from 1 species